ACUUGCUUCUUAUUUGCUGGGCGCUGAUCUCCCUGCAGCCCUCGGAGGCGGCGGCCGCGCUGCUUUCAUUUCGGGGCUGUCAUCACCAGAAACGCCGGCUGCCGGCCGCCCACCAGCUAGGCUCCAGUCAGUCAGGUUAGGAAAAGAGAAGAGAAAGAAGGAGAAGAGAGAGAACCUGCCGAUCACAGAGAGACCCUCGCUCCCAUCUACCUCUGCUGGCUACGAAGGUGCUAAAAUGUUUUUUCUUUCUAGGUAGGACCAUGUUUAUAGUUACCUACUAGCAAAGGUUGAAGGGCUGGGAAUUAGGAAACUCGUGAUUCUGCUUUUUAUUUUGACCCUGAUCCUCUGACCUUGGACGUGUUAUUUAUCUACUAAAAGAAGAACACUAUUUCCCAGCCCCAGACUGCCUCGUCUCUUAGGACAAGCCAAUCCUUGAUUUUCUAUACCACUGGGAGGAACCACUGCAUAGGAAAAGCAGAACACCGGGUAAUAAAUUAUUCUGUAUAACUCUUUGGCAAACAUUAUUUAAUUUUUUGGCAAUAGAUUCACCUUCUUGGUUAUGUUCUAAUAAAGCUCAUGUCAAGAGUAUCCAUGAAAAUACACACUGGCUGACUAGCAGGAGAAGCUGACAUAGGACCAAAAAAUAAUUGGGGAUUAGAAAGCGAUAAAUCAAUAUAAAAACUAUCAAGCUGUCUACUGUGAAGUUAAUGAAGUAAUUCAAAGUGCUUUGUUCAGCUUAGAGGAAAACCAACAGAAACUAUAUAACUAGACAAUUCUUGUAAAUCAGGAAUAAACAAUAGUCACACACCAGGUUAUUAUCACUGAGAUUAAGGACAGUGGUCUAGGGAAUUAAGGAUAUGUUACAGCAUCACUUCAUUUGGAACUACCACUUUAAAAAGAAGUGUAUACCUCACUGAGCAUCACAGAUUUCACCUUCAAAGUUUUCAACGUGACCAUCUGUUCAUGGAGCUGUCUGGUACAGACCCCAGGUUUCUGCCUUUUAGAAGAUGGUGGUCUAAGCCUGACAACAGUGGGGCAGAAAAACCCACACAUCACCUUCCCACUCACAGACGACGUUUAACUGUACAGUAGUAGAAAAUGUGACUGUGAAGGAGCAAGUAUAUUUCAGAGGACAGAGAAAGUCUUACAGGGCGUGUGUUUAGAAAGGGUGGGGAAUCACCACCCUCCUUUGACCAGACAGGCAGGGCUUUGUGUAGGAGGGUGGGGCUGUCAGAAACUGUCUGAAUGAUGGAAGGCAGCAGCUUAGCAGGCUAGUGGGGAGAGCGACUCCAACUGCACGGCUCAGCUUAGGAGGCACAAGUGAGGUCAAGAGUAAUGAUCUUUGCAGACCGUCUGUAGGGGUGAGAUCACUCUGAGAAGCCCAAGGAAACAGAAGUGGACAGUCAUGGUUCUGACUCUCAGUGUUAGCUAUGGAGAAACUCAAGCUCAUGGUCAGAUAAGCCCUGCUCCACCCAGUAAUGGCCCCAGUGAUCCACUUACGUGUUUGACCUAUUUCUUUCUCAUUCAUAAGGUGCACAUGAUACUGCUCUUUACAUAAGGUUGCUUCAUGAUCUGAAAGGAGAUUAUGUAGAUGAAAGGGCUUUGUAUUCCCAGGGUGCUAAUAUUAGAUUCUCAGGGCUCCCAUCAGUGUAAGAUUCAGACAAAUAAGAGGGUGAGGGGUCCCUGCUCAGCCCGUCGCCCUUAAAGAAACACACUGGCAACUUCCCUCCUUGUAAUAGCCUGCUGGACUUUUAGUUUCGGGUUUAGGGAGAUGCCAGGGGUGUCCUGCUCUUUAAGUGGCCAUUCAUCAACUCCAGGAAUGUGCUGGUGGUUUGCCUGAGUCUUAUCCAAAUGCCACUCUGGAUUUUGGAUAAAUACAGGAUGGGUGGCAACUGUGGUCAAAUUACUACUCCGCCCUACCACAAGCCUUAUUUUCCACCUUCUUUGCUCCUCAAGGGAGUUUCCCCUUUUUCUUAUCCUUUAAAAUUAUUUUAAAAUAUUUAUUUGUCUAUGAAUUAUUAUAUCCUUACCUUGGCAUAUGAUUUUCCCAUAUACAAUUGAAAUUUUGUGUUCAUUACAAACAAGGGGUAGCAGAAGUGUAAGGGAAGGGACAUGGACGUGGGCUUCACCAGACUUCUGGAUGAAAGAUGAGAUGACUAGACAAUUCCAAUAGUGAGAAAUGUAUUAAGAAAAAGGCUGAAUACAGAAAAAGUACAGCAAUAUGCUCUCCUUUGGCUUUAUAUCUACUCUUCCAGAGGAGGAAACUGAAAUUUAUCAGGGUGAGUCCCACAGCAGAGUAAUGAUAGUAACAGUAACACUGAUUAUUGCUGGUCAUGUGAUAAAACCAAGAUUGGAACUCCGAUCUGGUGCUAAGCCAGCAAUGUCCAACAGAAAUGCAAUGCAAACCACACAUGCAAUGUUAAAUUUUUUAGUAGCUACAUUAAAAUAACCAACAAGAAGUUGGUGAAGUUAUUUUUAAUAAUCUAUUUUGUUUAACCCAAUACGCCAAAAAUCAUUUCAAUAAUUAAUGAAUAUAAAAAAAAUUAGUGAGACAUUUAAUAUUUUUUUUGUACCAAAUAGUUGGAAUCCAGUGAGUAUUUUACAGCACAUUUACAUUUGGACUAGCCACAUCCAUCUUGUGGCUAUUGUGUACCACUGCUAUUGUGUACCACAGUUAAAUCCUGGGUUGCAGUGUAAAAUGUACCUUAUAUUGUGAGUCAUGGUUUUAAAAAGUUUGAAAUCUUCAUACUCUGCUAGUGAGAAUGCAAAACGGUUUAACUACUAUGGAAAGAAUCUGAUGGUUCCUCAAAGAGUUAAACAUAGAAUUACCAUAUGACCCUGUAAUUUCACUCCUGUACACAUGCCUGAAAGAAAUGAAAACAAGUUAUCUAACAAGUAUAUGUUGCAUGUUCAUAGCAGCACUAUGCAUAAUAGCCCAAAGUCUUCAAUGUCCAUCAAUGGAUCAAUGAAUAAACAAAAGGUGGCAUAUACAUGUAAUGCAAUAUUAUUCAUCUGUAAAAAGGAAUGAAGUUUGGGAACAUGCUACAACAUGGAUGAACCCCAAAAAUGUUAUGCUAAUUGAAGAAGGCCGGACACAGAAAGGUCACAUAUGAUAUGAUUCUAUUUAUGACAUAUCCAGAAUAGGUAAAUCCACAGAGACAGAACGCACAUCAGCUGUUGCCUGGGGCUACGGGGAGGGAAGAACUGGGAGAACCUGCUUAAUUGUGAAGGGGUUUUACUUUGGAGUGAUGGAAAUGUGUUGGAACUAGAUAGAAGUGGCGGUUGUGUAACACCGCGAAUGUACAAAAUGUCACAGAAGGG